rnacentral:lncRNA from 1 species
CUCAGGUUUUAACUUGUAAUAAUGGUGACACCAGUGAUAGCUGUACACAUGGCAUCCACUCGGGUGGUCCUUACAGCCACACUAAGAGAUGAUGAGUCUCCGAAGAAAGAAAAGGAAAAGUUACAAACCUCUGGAUCCCCAGGACCCACAUAGUCACAGAGAGGCAGUUCAGAUUCACAGAAGAAGGAAAAAGAAU